rnacentral:tRNA from 4 species
GUUCUUGUAGUUGAAUUACAACGAUGGUUCUUCAAAUCAUUAGUCUCGAUUAGAGUUCGAGCAGGAAUU